AACACAAUCUUCAUCAUCACACAAGACAAAAGAACAACAAUGAACACAAUCACCUUCUUCAUCUGGACUCUCACACUGUUUAUUCAAGAGUGUAGAGGACAGAUCACUGUAACUCAGAGUCCAUCAAUAACAGCUGUUCAACCAGGACAAGAAGUCAGAAUAAACUGUAAAACCAGCAGUGCAGUGCAUGGUGGUGUUUAUUUAGCCUGGUACUUACAGAAAUCUGGAGAAGCUCCUAAACUCCUCAUAUAUACAGCAACAACCCGUAAUACUGGAACUCCAUCUAGAUUCAGUGGCAGUGGAUCUAACAGUGAUUUCACUCUGACCAUCAGUGGAGUCCAGACUGAAGAUACAGGAGAUUAUUACUGUCAGAGUUUACACUAUCCAAACAGCCAAUGGGUGUUCACACAGUGA